rnacentral:misc_RNA from 1 species
UAUCCGUAGGUGAACCUGCGGAAGGAUCAUUACCGAGUGAGGGCCCUUUGGGUCCACCCUCCCACCCGUGUUUAUUUACCUUGUUGCUUCGGCGGGCCCGCCUUAACUGGCCGCCGGGCGGCUUACGCCCCCGGCCCCGCGCCCGCCGAAGACACCCACGAACUCUGUCGGAAGAUUGUUGUAUGAGUAAACAUAUAGAUUAUUUAAAACUUUCAACAACGGAUCUCUUGGUUCUA